GACAGAGGGUGCAAACGUUGUUCGGAAUUACUGGGCGUAAAGCGCGUGUAGGCGGCUGCGCAAGUCGGAUGUGAAAUCCCAUGGCUCAACCAUGGAAGUGCACCCGAAACUGCGUAGCUAGAGUCUCGGAGAGGAAGGUGGAAUGCUUGGUGUAGAGGUGAAAUUCGUAGAUAUCAAGCAGAACACCGGUGGCGAAGGCGGCCUUCUGGACGAUGACUGACGCUGAGACGCGAAAGCGUGGGGAGCAAACAGGA
rnacentral:rRNA from 1 species